UAGUCCACGCCGUAAACGAUGUCUACUGGCCGUUGGGAAACUUGAUUUCUUAGUGGCGCAGCUAACGCACUAAGUAGACCGCCUGGGGAGUACGGCCGCAAGGUUAAAACUCAAAUGAAUUGACGGGGGCCCGCACAAGCGGUGGAGCAUGUGGUUUAAUUCGAUGCAACGCGAAGAACCUUACCAGGACUUGACAUCCAGAGAACUUGGCAGAGAUGCCUUGGUGCCUUCGGGAACUCUGAGACAGGUGCUGCAUGGCUGUCGUCAGCUCGUGUCGUGAGAUGUUGGGUUAAGUCCCGUAACGAGCGCAACCCUUGUCCUUAGUUGCCAGCACAUAAUGGUGGGAACUCUAGGGAGACUGCCGGUGACAAACCGGGAGGAAGGUGGGGACGACGUCAAGUCAUCAUGGCCCUUACGUCCUGGGGCUACACACGUGCUACAAUGGGAACGC
rnacentral:rRNA from 1 species